rnacentral:lncRNA from 1 species
AAAAACCCAAAAUUAUCAGCUAGGGUUUUCAACCCUAGCUCUUUCCCCUCGCGCCGCAACAGUUUCUGGAAGCUUCGGGGAGCGUCGGUGCAACUCCCCAGAUCGAGGCCAUCAAUGCAUACUGACGCGCCAUCAAUGCGUCCGUCCCUCUCGUAACCGUCCAAGCACCGCAAUCUCAGGCCUCCCUUCUAGCCUUGGCACCACCGUUAAUGCCGAGAUCAUUGGGAUACCUACAAGAAAAGGAAACACAGCAGAUACAAAGAUCAAGAAAAAGGAAACUAAAAAGUAUCUCAGCGAAUCAAGGUCAAAGAUACAGUGAGCAAGAAAUAGAAAGAAAUCAAAGAUUUCUUUCCCAAUUUUUGUAAUAAAUAGUGGCUAUAAAAGCCCGAAAAACCAAUGUAAUAAGGGCAGAUUUUUUUUUAAGAGAAUAGGGAAAAUAUACUGACAUUCAUUCAGAGAAAUACAAACGGUCCCUAAAAGGUGAUUUAUUUGUACCUUGUUCUUAUUUUAGCAUGCAUAUACAAAUCACUCUAAGCAAAGAUUGUUGAGUUUUAAAAAAAGGAAGGAAAGUUACCUGUAUCAUGCUGGAAAAGGGAAGGGUUUUUAGCCCUCCGACCACCGUGCACGGCGGCGCGUAGGCGCGUGGGAACCAGUGGACGGAGGUU